rnacentral:rRNA from 1 species
CCUACGGGAGGCUGCAGUGGGGAAUAUUGGGCAAUGGGCGCAAGCCUGACCCAGCAACGCCGCGUGAAGGAAGAAGGCUUUCGGGUUGUAAACUUCUUUUGUCAGGGACGAAGCAAGUGACGGUACCUGACGAAUAAGCCACGGCUAACUACGUGCCAGCAGCCGCGGUAAUACGUAGGUGGCAAGCGUUAUCCGGAUUUACUGGGUGUAAAGGGCGUGUAGGCGGGACUGCAAGUCAGAUGUGAAAACCACGGGCUGAACCUGUGGCCUGCAUUUGACCCUGUAGUUCUUGAGUACUGGGGAGGCAGACGGAAUUCGUGGUGUAGCGGUGAAAUGCGUAGAUAUUAGGAGGAACACCAGUGGCGAAGGCGGUCUGCUGGACAGCAACUGACGCUGAGGCGCGAAAGCGUGGGGAGCAAACAGGAUUAGAUACCCGAGUAGUC